rfam:Cephalotus follicularis DNA, scaffold: scaffold138, isolate: St1.
ACGGCAUGAUGGGGACAUUUUUUAAUGAGAUCCUUCAAUCUUUCCCAUGAUUCAUGGAAUUGCUCACUAUCGUGCUGUGAAAAGCUAGUGAGAGCUCGCCUU